CUACGGGGCGCUGCAGUGGGGAAUAUUGCACAAUGGAGGAAACUCUGAUGCAGCAACGCCGCGUGGAGGAUGACACUUUUCGGAGCGUAAACUCCUUUUAUAUAGGAAGAAGAUGACGGUACUAUAUGAAUAAGCGCCGGCUAACUCCGUGCCAGCAGCCGCGGUAAUACGGAGGGCGCAAGCGUUACUCGAAAUCACUGGGCGUAAAGAGCGUGUAGGCGGAUUAAAAAGUCAGAAGUGAAAUCCUAUAGCUUAACUAUAGAACUGCUUCUGAAACUCUUAAUCUAGAAUAUGGGAGAGGUAUAUGGAAUUUCUGGUGUAGGGGUAAAAUCCGUAGAGAUCAGAAGGAAUACCGAUUGCGAAGGCGAUCUACUAGAACAUUAUUGACGCUGAGACGCGAAAGCGUGGGGAGCAAACAGGAUUAGAUACCCUAGUAGUC
rnacentral:rRNA from 1 species